rnacentral:rRNA from 1 species
UUCUGCCUACGGGGGGCAGCAGUGAGGAAUAUUGGUCAAUGGGCGCGAGCCUGAACCAGCCACGUAGCGUGAAGGAUGACUGCCCUACGGGUUGUAAACUUCUUUUAUAAAGGAAUAAAGUGAGGCACGUGUGCCUUUUUGUAUGUACUUUAUGAAUAAGGAUCGGCUAACUCCGUGCCAGCAGCCGCGGUAAUACGGAGGAUGCGAGCGUUAUCCGGAUUUAUUGGGUUUAAAGGGUGCGCAGGCGGAUUUUUAAGUCAGCGGUCAAAUCGUGGGGCUCAACCCCAUCCAGCCGUUGAAACUGG